rnacentral:lncRNA from 1 species
UGGCAGUCCUAUCCAACAGAGACUACUCAAUGCUUAGUGCAAUGCCUGACACUCCACAGAAGGUACUCAUUUUAUAUUUCUUAAAUGUUAAAUGAAUUCAAGGCAUGUUUCUUGCGAGUGAGUCUCCCUGAGUCUCUCUUAGUAGAUGGGAAUGGGAGUCCACCUGGUAGAUGUUGACAUUUCUGGGAGAUUCUACAGGAUAGAAAAUAAGAAAGGGAUUGGACAUAGGAGAGGCGGGGAGGACUCACCAAUUUUAAAGAAACUGUCGCGGGGAAUGCACUUCUACUUUGAGGCAGAUAUGGCCAAGCAAACCGAAGAGUUUGUGUCUCUCUCUGAUGGAGGUAUUUAAUUGUUGGCAUCAUGCUUCCCAGUCUGUUCUUCCCCUGUCUGAGCAAAUUUAGAAGCCCAAGCCAGCAUGGAGGUAUCAUACGGACCUCCCAGACUGUGUGAGCA